GGGCGUCGGCGGCAGCCAAGCACAAGGAUGCUUGCAAAGUGAACACCUCCCGUUCGAGAAAAGGGUGGCGCGGCAACCCAGAUGCAAAGCCCAGGAGGCGACCUGGACGGCGGUGCCCCCUCCGCGGCCGCCGCCGCCUCCUCCUCCCCCUCUUCUUCCACCCCCUCGCCAAUGGCGCCGGGAGGAGUCGGAGAGGGCAAUGGCCGUGGCCGGGCCCCGGAUGGCGUCCCCAGCAUGAACCCACGGCGGCCUCAGGAACUGCUGGAGGAGGUGGAGAAACUGCGGGAGGAGAACGACACCCUCAAGAAUGAGAUAGAUGAGAUGAGAACUGAGAUGGAUGAGAUGAGGGACAGCUUUUUUGAAGAGGAUGCAUGCCAGCUACAGGAAAUGCGUCAUGAAUUGGAGAGGGCUAACAAAAAUUGUAGGAUUCUACAGUAUCGUCUUCGGAAGGCAGAGCGCAAAAGGCUUCGUUAUGCACAAACUGGAGAGAUUGAUGGAGAACUUCUUCGUAGUUUGGAGCAGGAUCUGAAGGUUGCAAAAGAUGUUUCUGUGAGACUUCAUCAUGAGCUGGAAAAUGUGGAAGAAAAACGCACCACCACAGAAGAUGAAAAUGAAAAGUUACGACAGCAAUUAAUAGAAGUAGAAAUUACAAAGCAAGCUCUGCAAAAUGAACUUGACAAGAUGAAAGAGCAGUCCAUGAAAAGAAGAGGAAGCAAAGACUUGCAGAAAUCAGAAAAAAAGCAGCAGACCCCCACUGAGGAGGAUAAUGAAGAUCUGAAAUGUCAGUUGCAGUUUGUCAAAGAAGAAGCAACUUUAAUGAGGAAAAAGUUGGCCAAAAUAGACAAGGAAAAGGAUAGAUUUGAACAUGACCUACAAAAGUACAGAUCGUUAUAUGGUGACUUAGAUAGUCCCUUACCAAAGGGGGAAGCUGGAGGCCCACCUACCACAAGAGAAGCCGAACUGAAACUUCGUCUGAGGUUAGUUGAGGAAGAAGCCAAUAUCCUGGGAAGGAAAAUAGUGGAACUGGAAGUAGAAAACAGAGGGCUUAAGGCCGAACUUGAUGACUUAAGAGGAGAUGAUUUCUCAGGGGCAGCCAAUCCCCUAAUGGGAGAACAGAAUGAAUCUCUCUCAGAGUUACGACAGCAUCUGCAGUUAGUUGAAGAUGAAACAGAACUAUUGAGAAGAAACCUGGCUGAUGUGGAAGAGCAAAAUAAGCGCAUCACAGCAGAGUUGAACAAAUAUAAAUACAAGACAGGGACUCAUGAUACUUCAAGGCAUCAUGACAGUGCCAAGACAGAGGCAUUGCAAGAAGAGCUCAAAGCCACCCGCCUGCAGAUCAAUGAACUCAGUGGUAAAGUUAUGCAACUUCAGUAUGAGAACAGAGUCCUGAUGUCCAACAUGCAGCGCUAUGAUCUGGCCUCACAUCUGGGAAUCCGAGGCAGCCCCAGGGACAGCGAUGCUGAAAGUGAUGCAGGGAAAAAAGAAAGUGAUGAUGAUUCACGUCCUCCCCAUCGCAAAAGAGAAGGGCCUGUUGGUGGGGAAAGUGACUCAGAGGAGGUCCGCAACAUCCGCUGCUUGACCCCUACGAGGUCCUUCUAUCCAACACCGACAGGGUGGCAAAAAAGCUUCACGGACCGUCAGCAAAUGAAGGAUAUUCGCUGUGAGGCAGAACGCUUGGGCAAGACGAUAGACCGCCUGAUUUCGGACACAAGCACUAUCAUAACCGAAGCAAGAAUUUAUGUGGCCAACGGAGAUCUAUUUGGACUUAUGGAUGAUGAGGAUGAUGGCAGUCGGAUACGGGAACACGAACUUCUUUAUCGGAUCAAUGCUCAGAUGAAGACCUUUAGGAAAGAGCUCCAAGCUUUUAUCGACAGACUAGAAGUUCCAAAAUCUUCAGAUGAACGAAGUGCAGACGAACCUUUGUCAGUGAGUCAGAUAAAAAGUGCAAGAGUUGUAGUUUCUGUAGCAAUCGCUGCUGUAAAAACACUGAAGACUAUUUGUUUGAAAACAAUGGGAACAACCCUUACCUUCCAAAAUGUGGAUAAUAAAAGAAAUCAAAAAACAAAUAUUCCCACCACUGAAUCUGACUUCUGCUUAUCAGAAAAGGCCUUGUCCUUUCCAGAAUUGGAAGCCCAUGCCCCAUGCCUUUCCUACUAUUUUAUGUUUGAAUUGAAAUGCUUCUGAAGGGAUUCUUCACAUACUAAAAGUGUAACCAGAAGGCAAAGGAGAAUAAUUAAUAUCUUUUGAAAAUAAGGAUGUUUAUGUAGCACAGUUCAACAACACUCUGCAUAUCUCAGCUUCAGUGUGGUGUGACUUGCCAUGUCAGAAUCACUGUUCACCAGUAAUAUAAAGUUUUUACCAAGAGAAGCAAAGCCAAGCAAGGAUACAAAUCGAAAUAAAGCAAUGUGAAGGAAAACUCAGCCUUUGAGAAUUGCAAAAUGUCCAGAAGUUCUCAGAAGUGAGAAUAGUGUGACCACAUUUGCACUGAAGUUUCCUAAAGUGGCUAAAUGGGAAUGGUGCAACUUGAUCAGCUUGACCAGCAGAUCUAUAUGGGCUUCUGGACUGCUAUCAGCACUACCUGCUAUGAGAAGAAUAACUGAAGGAACUCCUUUGAACUUUGGCUGAGGGAUCUCAGUGAAGCUAGGUUUAUUUUCCAUGACCACAAUCACUUAUGUGCAAGUGCACAUUGGUCAAUAACCUCACUUUUGAAAUGCUGGAAAAAUGAUGUUGAUUCUUCGAUUACCCUUCCAGUCUUCAGUGUUUUUAUCAAUGAGAGAAGGAAACCCCUCCCAUCACGCAUAUGUAUAGAUAUUUAUAGCUCAUGCAUGGUAAAUUUUCCUUUAAAUGACAUGCUAAGGUUCCUCACCUCCAUACAUUUUUAAACAUUAAAUACUGUAUAAUUCUGUACAUUCCGACUUUUCCCACAAACAGCAGGAAGACAUGCUGUGUGCAUGAUCAUGUGUUUAUAGGUGCAUGUGUUGGAAUAGGAAGUAUUACUAGUCUGUAUUUAGAUGACCCAAAAUUAAUACUACUAUUGAUGCUGAAAUUAGACAUGCUUAUUUGUAGGCAUACACGUAUAGAAAUGAUAUGUUUUGUGGUUUAUUUUAUUUGAAGAUAUAUAACUCUGGCAACAGGUACUUUAAAAAUAUCUUUUACAGGUUUCACAGGUCCACUAUUUGAAAUAAAAAAAAAUGAACGCAUGCAUUUUUGUAAUUGUAACAACAGAAAAGGCGUUCAUAUAAUGUGUGCUACUUAGCUCUGUAUUGAUUUCUCAUUUAUGCUUAAUGCUCUUCCUCUUCUUUACAUUGCUAGGUCAAAGUGAGCUGUGCAUAUUUUUUUGACCACUGAUCUAUCACUUUUAAGUGCAUUUACCUUUUUCAGUGCACAGACAUUUGUAAAGAUGAUCAUCUCUCUCAACAUUUUGCCACUCAUGGUAAUCCAGAGACUGGUUUUCAGUGGAAUUACUAUCCAGCAACACUGUUGUGCAGAGAAAGAAGCAGGCUGUA